AGCAGCCGCGGUAAUUCCAGCUCCAAUAGCGUAUAUUAAAGUUGUUGCAGUUAAAAAGCUCGUAGUUGAAUUUCGGGGUCAGUAGGUUGGUCGUGCCACCGGUACGUACUGGUCUCACUGAUUCCUCCUUCCUGAUGAGCUGUAAUGCCAUUAAUUUGGUGUUGCAGGGAAUCUGGACUGUUACUUUGAAAAAAUUAGAGUGUUUAAAGCAAGCUAACGCUUGAAUACAUUAGCAUGGAAUAAUGAAAUAGGACGUUCGAUCCUAUUUUGUUGGUUUCUAGGAUUGACGUAAUGAUUAAUAGGGAUAGUUGGGGGCAUUAGUAUUCAAUUGUCAGAGGUGAAAUUCUUGGAUUUAUUGAAGACUAACUACUGCGAAAGCAUUUGCCAAGGAUGUUUUCAUUAAUCAAGAACGAAAGUUAGGGGAUCGAAGACGAUCAGAUACCGUCGUAGUCUUAACCAUAAACUAUGCCGACUAGGGAUCGGAUGAUGUUAAUUUUUUAAUGACUCAUUCGGCGCCUUACG
rnacentral:rRNA from 1 species